rnacentral:rRNA from 1 species
CUACGGGACGCUGCAGUGAGGAAUAUUGCACAAUGGGGGGAACCCUGAUGCAGCAACGCCGCGUGGAGGAUGACGCAUUUCGGUGUGUAAACUCCUUUUAUAUGUCAAGAAAAUGACGGUAGCAUAUGAAUAAGCACCGGCCAACUCGUGCCAGCAGCCGCGGUAAUACGGAGGGUGCAAGCGUUACUCGGAAUCACUGGGCGUAAAGGACGCGUAGGCGGGUUGGAAAGUCAGGUGUGAAAUCCUACAGCUUAACUGUAGAACUGCACUUGAAACUUCUAAUCUAGAGUAUGGGAGGGGGAGAUGGAAUUAGUGGUGUAGGGGUAAAAUCCGUAGAUAUCACUAGGAAUACCUAAAGCGAAGGCGAUCUCCUGGAACAUUACUGACGCUAAGGCGUGAAAGCGUGGGGAGCAAACAGGAUUAGAUACCCUUGUAGUC